GUUGCUUCUUUAUGGUGAACUCUCCCUUAUUUCAAAGUGGGGGAUAUGAUGUUCAAGUUUCCGAAGCAUAGAUUAAUGUCUUUGCCAGUAUUAAACAGCGCGCGUUGUGUAUUCUUUUUGUUGUUACACUGUGCUACCUGUCUCCUAGUAAAUUU